AGGUUGAAUCUGUCAAGACCAUAUCCAGCAGUUAGGCAUGAUCCUCCUGGUUGAGGGAUGGGGCCACUCACCCAUCUCCAAAAUUUUAACCCAGAAUUUCUCCUGUCUAAAGGAAAUACAGGGACAAAGAGUGAAGCAAAGACUGAAGGAAAGGCCAUCCAUAGACUACCCCACCUGGGGAUCCAUCCCACAUGCAGACACCAAACCCAGACACCUACUGAUGCCAAGAAAUGUUUGCUGACAGAAGCCUAUAAUAGCUGUCUCCUGAGAAACUGCCAGAUCCUGACCAAUAUCGAUGAGGAUGCUCAAAGCCAACCGUCAGACUGAUCACAGGGACCCCAAAGGAGGAGUUAGGGGAAGGACUGAAGGCGCUUAAGCGGCCUUAUCUAGUAUCAUUGGGAGGGGAGGCCAAUGGUUCUCUGAAGACUUGAUGCCCUAGUAUAGAAAAUGCUGGGGCAGUUAGGCAGGAGUGGGUGAAUGGGUUGGGGAGCACCCUCACAGAAGCAGGGUAAGGAGGGAUGGGAGAGGGGGUUGGCAGAAGGGAAACCCAGAAAAGGGAUUAUAUUUGAAAUGUAAAUAAAUAAACUAUCCAAUAAAAAACAAAAUAAAUCAAAACAAAUAAACAAAAA
rnacentral:lncRNA from 1 species